rnacentral:tRNA from 1 species
UAAAAAUUUAGUUAAAUAAUAACAUUAGCUUGUCAAGCUAAAAUUACUUAAUUAAGUAAUUUUU